UAUUAUCUACCUAGAGUACUCUCCUCUUCUGCAGUUAAGAUAUUUUUUUUUUCCUUGACAUUAGACCUUUGUCAUGUGCUCCAAGCCUGGGUAUGAAUUGUUCUAGAAUUUUUUAACCAAAAGUUUUCUUCCUUUUCCUAUAUAUUAAGCUCUGUCCUCUCCUUCAUCUUGUAAUGUGCUAGUGUCAUUGCAAACAAAGGUGCCACACUUUAGUCUUGUGUAUAGAAUUCCUUCCUGAGCUAACCUAUUCUUUGGAGUUUGGAUGAAUGUAAGCCUCUUCUUCAUCUUUCCAAGUUGUACAGGAAAUAUUUUCACUGAACCACAAGUUGGGCUAAUGAUUUUAUUUUCAAUUACUAGGCCUAAUAAUAAUUGUAGAGCAAGAGUCAAAAAACACACGUGAACUUCAAAUAAUACCAAAUAUGCCUUAUUGGCGCUCAGAACAAUUUUUGAAUCACUUUAAAGGUAAUUCUGCUGGCUGUAUUUUUAAAUAGCUCUGGGUCACUUAAGGGAUCUUAAAAAAUAUUUUCCACUUGAUAAAGCACAGGCAAUAUUAGUCAAGAAAGUUCUAUUUGCAGGUUAGAAUGCAGCAGGUUAAAAAUAGAAAAUCCGUUUAUUUGGCUCAUGGUGCUGCAGACUAUACAAGCAUGGCAUCAGCAUUUGCUUUUGGUGAGGGCCUCAGGAAGCUUCCAUUCUUGGCAGAAGGUGAAGGAAGAGCAGGCAUGUCAUGGGACGAGAGAGAAGGCAAAGAGUGUGAGGAGAAGGUGCCAGACUCAACAAUGGAGAGCAUAUUUUAACCUGAGAUUUGGAGGAGACAAAUAUUUAAACUAUAUCAUCUUUCUUCACAGUUUCAUACUUUUCCUCAUAUAGAUCUUGUGCAUUUAGUUCUUUCAUUUAAUGUUCUAUUUCUUCCAUAAAUUGUUAAUGCAUUUUUUAGUAUGGUUUUUCUAUUUGCAUAUCAGUUUUGAACUAAAGUCAUUCCAUAAUGCCAGCAAUUAAAAAUGUUUUCCCCUCAGUUACCAGAACAUACACUGUUGUUCACACUGGAAAUAGAUUCAGUGUUUCUGUAGAGCAACUAGGAAAAAAACAUUACAAAGGUAUUCCUGUAGUUUGACUUAUCUUUCUUUUUCUUUUUGGGCCUCCCUAUUUUCUGCAACACAAUAAUAUUGAAUUAAGCCAAAUGACCCUACACUGACCUCUCAGUAUUCAAAUGUAAAGAAUAGUCACACAUCUCUUGCUUUAAAUCAAAAGACAGAAAUGAUUGCGCUUAGAAAGGAAGGCAUGUUGAAAACCAAGACAGGUUGAAAGCUAGCUUUCUUGUGCCAAAUCGUUAGCCAAGUCGUGAAAGCAAAGGAAAAGUUCUUGAA